CAGCUGCACUACCGCUCAGGGUGGGAGCAAUCUGGGUCUCAGCUAUCCAGCAGGUUAUCCCAGGAGGAAGACGGGAGAGCAGCAGUUCCAAACGGCUCCACUAAGCUGCAGCUCAUACCACUAGAAGCAUCACACUUAAAGAAGAUUACUGCGUCUGAGCCAGUACUUGAGCAAUUCUGCAAUGCUGGUUGUAUAAGGAAAAAUGAUUUUUUUUCCCCCCACCCUGCCCCGAGUAGAUUUGUUCCUAAUUUGAUUAUUACCUGUCAGUUCCUGAAGGCCUUCUGCAAGGCCCCAUCCACUAAUCUGCUGGGGGAAGCAGCACUAACCAAUGCAUUGACUGUCCCAGUAACUAGCGGUUUUUUUUCUGGACUCUACAGCAAAUGGACUUGGAUGGGGGGAAAGAGAUACCUAACUUCCCCUGCUGCUGGCAGCUUUCAAAUCAGCACAUGGGAGCAGACCACUCUGCAGGUCUGCUAAAUCUACUCUGUGAAGUGUAAGAAGGUAUGUGACAGAACCUGUCUUAUACGGGCAGCUCAGCUCCAGUGCUGGGUGAUAGACAUCUUGGGAAGCAGGCAGGGCAGGGGGAAGAAAGGAGGGGAAAGAUGUCAGCCAGAGCAUGGCCCUGGGCACAAGAGAUAAAGCAAGCAGACUCAAAGAGACAAGAACAGCCCUACCGCAGAGAGAGCUGAACUGCAGGCAAGACUGGGCUGCUCCCUGGAGGAAAAGGGAAAGAGCCCCUGGUCCUACAGUACUUCUCCUCAGGGUCUGGUAAGAAAAAUACUCUCAAGAUUAAGAAAAAAAUAAGGUAGAGAAGCAGAAAAAGAAAGGGAAAAGGAUACAGAAAGAGAAGGUGGCUGAAAAAGGAUAAUGUUUGUAAAUAAUGGAAGUUCAGCUUCAUGGAUGAUGUUUUCGGUAGUUCAGAGCUAAGCCCAGGCUUAUUUACACAUAGAGCACUAAACAAACAAUCCUAUUUUAUAGGAUUCCCUGCAUAGCUAUUGCCAUACCCAAGUACUCGGUACAUGGAACAAUUCAGCUACCACCUGUCACAAAGGGUACUCUGAGCUCUGGGUGCACUACAACUCAGUUUUGGUAGAACAGCUGAUGAGUGUUGCUUUGGCCCAGAGUACCUCAGAUUUCUUGACAAGGAACAUCUGGAGAUGUUUGAAGGAAGGGGAAGGGAGACCUUUAGUUUGAGAAAGCAUAGCUCUAGCUUUGAUCAAGAGCUCAGAGAGCAUCUAGUGCGCAGCCAAGUUUUACCCUCACUCUGGGAAGUUCGGCUGUGCCUGUGGAACAAAGCUACGAGCCAUUAUUUCUUACUUAAGGGCUCCAAAUAAAUCUAGAUAUGCUGGAGGCAGGUUGCUGACAGUAACAUCAAGGACAGACACCUCAACACGCCUCUCAUCUAAUAUACAAAUGUGGGGAGCAGAGGAAAGAUUUCAGGUCUUUGGUUUUAACUGCAGCAUCCCAGGGGCAAAGGGCUCUGACCCAGGUGUACUGUUUUGCCGCAACCCAGAUGAGCCCUUCUCCUCACCUCUAGGGACACAGUCAGGCGUUAAGAUUCUCUGUGCACUUUCAGUGCACUGUCCAGGUUUCUUUGUGUGCCCCAAAGGGAGAGAGUCAUCAGAAAAGGCUUUCAGUGAUCCCCAGGGGAAGUCCUGAACGCAGAGCCUUGCAUGUGUCGGGACGUGGAUCUCCACUGCAGAGCAGGGUGUGACUGCCCUUUCUGUAAAAACGCACCUUAGGCCUACUGACAUUCACUUCUGGCACGGCCGGGUCAGCAUCCAGCUCAGGUGCUGGAGCAUUUACUCAUCGAGAAGCCUGGGUUGCAGCUCGUUAAAAGAUUAAGGUUAGCUGUGAUUGUACCGACACCCUAAUGCUUCCCUCCAUCACCUCUGGUUUUAAAACAUUCUUAUUACCCCGCAGUACAGACCUAAUGCCAGGGGAGUAUGGGUGGAUAGACUCUGCCCGUUUUUUAAGAUCGAAAUUGUUUCCUUAAACAUGGCCUGUUUUUUCAGUUGAGCUAUGCUGAAAGAGAUCCAACCCAUCAGGUAGGACCUGUUUCGGAACAGCACAGCCCUGCCGCUCUCCUUGCUCCAGCCCCGAGUCCCAUACAGACCCAGCUCAGCGCACCAGGCACCUCCCCAUCGAAGGGAGCAGCGUUACAGCAGAGAAGCCAGCAGCCCUCAGGCUUAUCGCCGAGAUGCCACACAUCAGCGAUCACCAUGGAAAUACCACGUGUGCGGGGACUGCAGUUUGUUCUACAGCUGAAGGAAGUAGCAGCACAACAGCAGCCUUUGAACUAGCAGCUGGUGUGAGUUGUUUCUGCCUGGACAAAUUCUGAUCUGCGCAGCCUUCACCUGGCUGAGACAUGGGUCACUGCUUUUCCCAUUCAGGAGGUUGAGAGUUGAAAUCAGAAGAGCAACUGAGGGUGGGCAGCAGCCCUGCCUGCGUUGAAGAGACCUCAGCAGCAUCAAACAUUCUUAAAGUGAGGUUAAAAAAUAGAGUUGGUUGCUGGGAAUUCUGAAAUGCCUCGUGCCCCCACCCUUCCUUACAUCGUAUCAGCUGCUACUGAAACCGGGUAGAAAAUAGCUCCCUAUGUAUUAAAUAUAUAUAAUAUACAUUGUACAACACAGUACAGUCUUCUGUGGAGACGGUUACGUCCACAACAACAUAGGGUGUAGCUGCAUUAAUUUAAAACAUGAGGCAAGCCAGUAAGAGAAACAAACUUUCCUUUCACAUAGGCUAGUCCAGGCCCACCAGUACAGGCUCAGCUCCAGGCAAUGAAAAAGAGACAAAAUGCUGUUGCACUAAGUGACCAGAAGGAGACGGUUUCAGAGAAGGAUGGUAUGAGUACUGUCACCCUGGGAAAGGGAUGAAUUCUGGGAUGACUGGUGCUACUGCUUGUUAUAAGCGUGCUGCUCUAGCUACACAUCUACGUACUACACUGCAGGGAACCGGCAGAAAUGAACAUAGUUUACACUCUGGAUAUGCUUCCCCUUAGAGUUCUUCUAAAUAUAAACGAUUUAGAAACAGGCUACUAAUGAAAUCCCGCAGCUCAGCUGUGCAGUCAGCAGUAGUGCUGGUCAAAAGCCGCACGACUCUGAGCGUCUGGGGAUUUGGCUUUGGUCAGUGUGACAAGGAAUGAGUUUUUCCCCAGAGAGGAAUGUGCAACUGUAUACAUAGAAUAGAAACUCUUUCAGGGAGAGCACAGCCCUGGGACAAGAGAGGGCUGCUGCCUAAUUCACAGUGAGCUGCAACUAAGAAAAACCGUAAACGCAGUAAGUCACAUCGCUGCUCCCCACAGAGAGGAACGGCUGAAAACCAAACCAAACAAACCUCUCAUUUGCUUUGAGCUGUUCGAAUCAAAGCACUGAUUCGGGUCUUCAGACACAGGGACUGCCGCUCUAAUGAACAGGCCCCAGAGCUGCAGGCAACCUCCCUCGUCUUCUCUGGUGCAAACUUCACCAAUGUUUCACAGGCCUAUGCAUUUUGUGCAGCUUAUUAGUGCCAUUUUGAUUCAAGUCCAGCACAGUUCAAAGUGAUGGAACUAUCGCUAAUCAUCAGUUUUAGUUUGGCUUGGGCUAAAUAAGAAGUACUGCUAAAAAUGCUGUCCAACUUCACUGGAGCACAGAAACAAUGGGGGAAGUCUCCUGUUGCAUCCCCGGGGAUCUAGGGCAAAAGUUCGCUCUAUUUGGCAAUGGCUAUCACAGGAGAAAAUCAUUCAGUCUUGGCCAGCCAUGUUUUAUAGUAUUAAAAAAAAAAAAAAA